GUAUAAAUAGGACUCAAGGGACGGCGAUGGGACCUUGCAUAGCUAGCCUUGCCAUGCUUUGUUGGUCUCGAGUCUUCACUGAUCUUUACUUCUUUGGGAGAGGCAUGGCAGAGUACUUCUGGUUCUGGUCGCUCCCACAGACUUGUCCUGAUUCGGUGGAGGCCUGGCUGUUUCUGCUUGAUCGUGCCACCACUGCUGAUUUGUGUUUGUGACGCUACUGAACUGGACUGCUGCUAUCCUGACAAUGGAGAUCGGAAUGACUCUAAAAUCUACUUCUAAACAGGCUUCGACUCCAAUGCUGCCGUUUCUCGGAGGUCAGGAAUCUUUCUUACCCGUCACAUCUUCAGUGGCAGCGUGUCUGCCAAAUUGCUCUGUUUUGUUUCAUCACAGCAUUCACCUCUACCUGACAUUUCCUCGGCUCCUUUGUCAUUGGCUGUCUCCCUCUGCUUACACGCCCACUGUGGAAAGCAGUGACUUGCUUGCCUUGGCUACUACCACAGCCCACAGAGUCGGACUCCUGAAAAUCAGUGAGUAAUGUGCAGGAGUAAUUGUUGAAUUGUAGAGUGGUGUAUAAUUUGUUAUUCCUUCCAACGUUUCUGAGAUGAGAUCUCAAAAUCUUAUAAUAGAGGGAAAAAUUAAUUUACAGGGCCAAGUCUCAUUGACUAAAUAAUUAAAGUUUACAUAAACUUAUAAUGUAUGAGGCCAUUUUAAUUUAAAGAAGUGGGAAUGUGGCAGCCUCUUGGCUCAUGUGAAGCAGAAACCAUUCUGCAUGAAAUGAAAACUCUUUGCGGCCAGUCACUACAUUCGUCUCCUAGCUCAAGCCUUACAGUACUCUAAGAAAGGGUAGGAUACCCUGCACCCUUCCCUCCUAUUAUUUCAUUCAUACAGAGUCUAAGAAAAAUAAGGUCAUCUCCCCAACACUGUGUGGUCCAUAUAUGUCAGACAAGUGGGUCUUUCAUGAAGGACUUAGCUAUUAAAUGUGAAAUCCUAGCUCUGCACGGUGACAAUCUCAGCUGGAAGCUCUUCUCUGUGGUAAUUAUGUUUAAGCCCCAUGGCUUUAGAUGCUGAGGUUGACUCGUCCUUAGCUUCAUCUGAGCCCGUUUCUGGGGAGAACACUGAUGUCUUGUCAAGGUGGUAAACAGAUUCCCAGGUCACCCACCGUGCUAGCGCUGUGUUUCCUCUGCUGCCUGGAUGCUUCUGGGUUGACAUACCCUUUCUGGCAUGACAUGUAUGCAGGAAAACAAUCGAUUCGGAAGCACUCACUUCCUAGACUGCCCGUCACUCAGGCUGCCCAGACCCCGACUCCAGACCUGAUGAGAGUUUCAAGGGAAAGAGAAGAUCCAACUGCCUCGUGCUUCUCUCCUUCUUAGCACAUUGAGAAACUGUAGCCUCAAGCCUGAAAUCCUUUUAUAAGGAGAACGAUAGACCAGUUCUGUCAAAAAGUGAUUUCAGUGGUCUCACUGUGGAAGCUCACAGGUUAACUUGCAGGAGUAGAGAAUGGAAAGUCAGCCACCAGAAGCUGAGACGGACAAAGGGGAAGGAGGAUGCGGGGAGGUCAAUAAUGGUGACCAAAGUGCACAGAGAUGGACGGAUUAAACCCUUGCAUUCCUUGGCGUUGUGUUUCUAUAGUAUAUAAAAAUGUAUUAUGUAUUUCACAAAGCAUCAAAAUAGAGGAGUUGAAAUUUUUCUUUUGAACACAAAUAAAUGGUAAUUAUUGAAGAAGAUGGAAUGUUAAUCAUCCUGAUUGGGCAUUAUAUAUUUUAUAUAUGCAUAAAAUUCUACUCCAUAAAUAUGUACAAUUAUUUUCAAUUAAGAAUCAACAACACUAUAAGGGCUCACUGAAACUAAAUGACCAAUCAGAGAACAUGUACAGGAGAACUGCUAUGCAUAGAUAACAGAUGUGUAGCUUGGUCUUCAUGUGCGGCCCUGAAUAGCAGGAGCAGGGGUUAUCUCUGCCCGCCUUUGGAUCCCUUUCCCCUAACUGGGCUGCUUUGUCUAGCCUCAAUAGGAGAAGAUAUACCUACACUCACUGCAACCUGAUAUGCAGUGGUGGAUCAAUAUACCCGGGAGGCCUCCCCUUCUCUGAGGAGAAAGGGAGACAGGGUGGGGGUUGGGGAGGGGGAGGAGCACAUGGGGGAAGGAAGUUAAGAGGGAGGGACUGGAAGAAGAGGAGGGAGGGAAAUCUGUGAUCUGGCAUGUAAAGUAAAUAAAUUAAUAAAAAGAAGACUAAA
rnacentral:lncRNA from 1 species